CCACAAAGCAAAAACAAUGCAGACAUCUUACCCUUUCAACUCUCUCUCGAUUUCUUUUCUUUGCACAGACAACACACCAUCUUUUUUUUUUGUCUGCUCUCUCCCCCACUCGAUCUCUAUAAGGUAAUCACCACCAAAUCCAUUCAACACUCAUAUUCCCCACACACCACAGCCUCUCUAUCCCUCCCUCUGACUACAUGCCGGCGGCCGGAAUAACCGGCGGAGCCAUGCUCCGGUCAUCUUGUUCUCCGGGGUUCAGUUCACCGACAAACACCCACCUUCUCCCUUCUGACUGACGGACGGCUGACCACCGCCACCACAGCCGUCUGGUGGCGGCGUGGUGACAAGACAGAGAGUGGCGUAAGAGGGAGAGAGCGGCGGAGAUUAGGAGCAGCGCCGCCGUCCACGGCAGCGGCGGUCGGCGUCUUGGUCCGGCGGUCUGCGUCAAGGUCCGGCGGUCUUUGUCAUUAUCCGACGGGUUUUUGUUCGGAAGUCCCGGUCCGGGUCAGAUCGAUUACAGGUGACCGACUCAGCUCCGGAGACGGCUGUGGAGAGUGAUGGUGAUUAUGUUCAGGAUUUAGUUACGUUCGGUUCGGGAGUUCCGGGUCAGAUUUAACGGCUCUCGGUUCGGUCAACGAUGGUCAACGGGUCAGUUGGGUUCGGGUCAGCUGGUCAACGUUCAAGGAGGGUCAAGUCGACAGGAUUUCGGGUUCGGUUGGCUCAGAUUUGGUGUUCGAGUCAACCGAGUCAACCCGGUCAAACCUGGUAAACUCAGCGAGUCAACUCGGUCAACCCGGUUGACUCGGUCAACCCGGUCAACUCAGUCAACGAAAGCGGCACGAAAGACUUGAUAAUAGCGAAUGUGAGUUUCAGAAACACGGUCACUAGAGAAUGCUACUGCGCAGGCAGGAAAGCGGUUACUGUCAGAUGGAAGUUUAUGAAGCAAGAGAGACGUUUGUUCUCUUGUAUUGUUUAAUGUACUUUGAUUGAUGCAGAUAUUGUGCUGGACAACUGUGCGAUUUGUAGAAAUCAUAUUAUGGAUCUAUGUAUCGAGUGUCAAGCUAAUCAGGCUAGCUCUACUAGCGAAGAGUGUACUGUUGCUUGGGGUAUGCCGGUAUCUUUUUGUUCACUGUGAUAAUGAUCCUGCACCAUGGACAAGCUUGCGUAAGUCCAGCUGAUACCAACGCAGAAGAAACACUAAACACCUUGAAGUAUGCCAAUCGAGCUCGUAACAUACCAAACAAAGCUAUUGUUAAUCGUGAUCCAGUCACAGCUCAAAUGCAAAGAAAGACAAGUUACUGCUUAAAAUUGAAUCUGCACGUGGUGGCAAACCAUGGGAUGAGAUAGACUGUGACUCGAAUAAGGUUCUUGGCUAUUAUCAAUCGAAAAACCGGCCUCGAGAAUCACGUUCUAGAGUGUUGAAGCUCGAUUUAGAAUCCGUUAGAAUCCAUUUGUGUGGCCACGUGACCUUUGUUAAGUGCGGUAUUGGCGCCGAAAUGAUGAUGGGAGUUAUGUUGGACUCUUUUGCUCUAGGGAGCAUGAGAACUGUGGCCCACAACCAGGAUACGUGCGCGCUCAUAUUGAGACUGUAAAGCAAGCUAAACACAGCAUGCUUGGAAGUCUAUAAAUACAACAUCAAUCUCAACACUCUACAAACACUCAACUGAGACGAAUUAAACCUUCAAAUUAAUAUCAAUACUCUUUGCAUCUGGAUCUUGCGUUGUUUCUCGGCUCUUCACAUCAAGGUUUUACAUUUUUUGUCGGCUUUUUACAUCUGGCUCUUGCAUUGUUAUUUGCUUUCUGCAUUCCUCUAGAUUUUGGAUCUGUCUUUUAUGGCUACUUUGAAAUCAAAGUCGAUGCUUUCUGCCACUUGUUUUGGAAUUUGGAACGGCCAUUGAAUCUCCUUUGAUUUCCAGAUGUCAAUCGGAUUGCUUUUUUUUUUUUGUUGUUGAAACCGAUUUGGGAAUUGAGUUGCAUGACAGAUCUUUGUUCUUGUUGUCGUUUUGGCUAUUGACUUUUUGAUUUCCGAAUAGUUUAGCUAUUAUGAAUUAAUUUGUUUACGAGCUUUAACUUUAGUCCGGAUAGUUUAGCUAUUAUGCAUUAAUUUGUUUUUGAGCUUCAACUUGAACUAGAGUGAUUAAUAAAGUUGGUUUUAUUAGUUCUUUUGCUGGAGCAUUAAGCUUUGGAAAAAAAUCACAGGUCAAACAAUGCUAAUUAACCUUAUAUAAAUUAGUUUGUAAAAUAAAAUCAAGUUAUAAAGCUUCUCACCAAAAGCUGUUGUUCAAUUUUAAUCUAUUUAAAAGAAAUAGUGUAAAAACGUUUUUUAUUACAUUCUCUAAACUAUUUUAAAAAUAUAUUUAAAAAUAUGUGGUUACAACAAAAGUAAAGUAAAACAAAACACUUCUAAAAAAAUAUAAAAAAUAAAAAAUCUAUAUCUAAAAAACCGAAAACCUAUCUAUUAAAAAAUUCAUUAAAACUUGUUAAUGAAGACAUCUUUAGAGAUAAUUAAAAAAACUUUUAAUAGAAUAUCAUAAUAUAACGGAAUGUUUUCUUUUUAAUUUUAGUCUAUAAUUUAUAUAAACCUAAAAUAGCAAUACCAGAUUUUCUUUAGUUAAUAUUGAAUUAGGUUAAAUCCAAUGAGAUCAUGAGAGAGACAAAACAAAUUAUAAAAAACUUACUUAAAGACAAGGGAAAUCACCCAUUUUGUUAAAUACUUUUCAAAUCACUCAUUUUAGUAAAUAAUUUUUCUACAACACCCGUUAAGAAAAAAACUCCUUUAUUCUUUCCUAUGCAUAUAUUUGUGAAAAGAGCCUAUUUUUCAUUUCAUUAAAUACAUCUACACUUUAUUCAUGUUGUAUACAUAAUUAUGGUUUUGGUUUUAAAUAUUGUUUUUUUUUGCUUUUAUUAUUUAAAAAAUAAAUUCAGUUACAAUUAAAAAGUCGGUAUCAAAUGACUACAUGAAAUGAUGAACAACCGGGAGUCUCUGGAAGGCCGAAAGUAUUUCAAAAAUGCAAAACGUUUUGACUCAUAUAAUCCAAUUAUCAUGCAAUUUAAUAUAUGGGCUUACCGCUCAUACGGGCCUAUCCUCAGGCACAAAAGGUGUUGUCCGGUUUAUCACCGGCCCCAUUCUUGCAAAUAUAAUGCUUAUAUUCCACGUCGGGGAAGUCCUCCACCCUCUUCAUAACGAGUUUGUUUUGGCGAGCCAUACCGGUAACCCCCCACUUUGCAAACGAACCCGUAGUUUUGACGGUCAAAUCAAUUUGACCCUCCUCGUUCAUGUGACUGGAAAAACUCUUCAUAAAAUUAUCAAAAUUAAAUUUCUUGUUUUUCCUGAAAAAAAUACAAAUUCAAGUUAUUUCAAAGUUUGC
rnacentral:lncRNA from 1 species